UACGUAGGGGGCGAGCGUUGUCCGGAUUUAUUGGGCGUAAAGAGCUCGUAGGCGGUUUGGUAAGUCGGGUGUGAAAUCUCCACGCUCAACGUGGAGGGGCCACUCGAUACUGUCAUGACUCGAGUCCGGUAGAGGAGUGUGGAAUUCCCGGUGUAGCGGUGAAAUGCGCAGAUAUCGGGAGGAACACCCGUAGCGAAGGCGGCACUCUGGGCCGGAACUGACGCUGAGGAGCGAAAGCGUGGGGAGCAAACAGG
rnacentral:rRNA from 1 species